UACGUAGGGACGAGACGUUAUCCGGAUUAUUGGGCGUAAAGGGCGCGUAGGCGGUCGUGACAAGUCACUUGUAAAAUCUCCGGGCUUAACUCGGAACGGUCAAGUGAUACUGUCGGACUAGAGUACAGAAGGGGCAACUGGAAUUCUCGGUGUAGCGGUGAAAUUCGUAGAUAUUCGGCGGAACACCAGUGGCGAAGGCGACUCACUGGCCCGAUACUGACGCUGAGGCGCGAAAGCGUGGGGAGCAAACAGG
rnacentral:rRNA from 1 species